UACGAAGGGUGCAAGCGUUACUCGGAAUUACUGGGCGUAAAGCGUGCGUAGGUGGUUUGUUAAGUCUGUUGUGAAAGCCCCGGGCUCAACCUGGGAAUGGCAAUGGAUACUGGCAGGCUAGAGUGCGGUAGAGGGUAGUGGAAUUCCCGGUGUAGCGGUGAAAUGCGUAGAGAUCGGGAGGAACACCAGUGGCGAAGGCGGCUACCUGGACCGAGCACUGACACUGAGGCACGAAAGCGUGGGGAGCAAACAGGG
rnacentral:rRNA from 1 species